UAUAGUAGUACUAUUUUUGUAGGUUUUGCUUCAAUUGUUGCGGACUAAGAUAUAAAGCUUUUUAUUUCAUGAUUUUGAUCUGGGCCUGUUGAUUAUGUGUUUGUCGAAAUUUCUCUUCAUGGUUUUUGUUUCAUAAUGUUCCAUUAACUUGUACCUAAUGAGAAUUUUUAAAAAUGUGUGUUAAUGUUGGUCAAUGGCGGAGCCAGUAUUUGAAGCUUAUGUGUUUGGGAUUCUUGUUCUUUUAAGUUAGUGGGUUCUAAAUUAAUUAUUUGUACAUGUUCAAUAGGAUUUUAAGACAAAUAUAGGGUUUGGACCAAAGCUACUAGGAUUGGACGAACCCGUAGCGGAAGAGCUAGCUCCGCCCCUGAUGGUUGUAGCCAAAUCUGAUCAUCUCAUGUAUUCAUGGGUCAGUAUGCAGCCAGUUGCUUAGAGAUGAAGUGGUAUUUAACAUGGUAAAUUUUGUGUAAGCGAGUUGAGUAAUUAGCAUAUAUUUAGUACUCAUUCAUUGAACUUGACCUUGGCCCAAGGUGAUUUUUGUUAGGUAGAGAUAGUUUCUCUUUUUCCCUUUGGGAUAUGACUUUCUAGAAUUAUCAAACUUAAAUCUCAGUAUCUAGGAAAAAUAUGCC